GGAUCGGUAGCUCAGUCGGUAGAGCAACGGAUUGAAGCUCCGUGUGUCGGCAGUUCGAUUCUGUCCCGAUCCA
rnacentral:tRNA from 1 species